rnacentral:tRNA from 1 species
GCCGGGGUGGCGGAAUUGGUAGACGCGCAAGUUUCAGGUAUUUGUGGGCGAAAGCCCGUGGAGGUUCAAGUCCUCUCCUCGGCACCA